rnacentral:rRNA from 1 species
GACGGGUGAGUAAUGUCUGGGGAUCUGCCCGAUAGAGGGGGAUAACCACUGGAAACGGUGGCUAAUACCGCAUAACGUCGCAAGACCAAAGAGGGGGACCUUCGGGCCUCUCACUAUCGGAUGAACCCAGAUGGGAUUAGCUAGUAGGCGGGGUAACGGCCCACCUAGGCGACGAUCCCUAGCUGGUCUGAGAGGAUGACCAGCCACACUGGAACUGAGACACGGUCCAGACUCCUACGGGAGGCAGCAGUGGGGAAUAUUGCACAAUGGGCGCAAGCCUGAUGCAGCCAUGCCGCGUGUAUGAAGAAGGCCUUCGGGUUGUAAAGUACUUUCAGCGGGGAGGAAGGCGAUGUGGUUAAUAACCGUGUCGAUUGACGUUACCCGCAGAAGAAGCACCGGCUAACUCCGUGCCAGCAGCCGCGGUAAUACGG